UACGAAGGGUGCAAACGUUGCUCGGAAUUAUUGGGCGUAAAGCGCACGUAGGCGGGUUUAAAAGUCGGAUGUGAAAUCCCUCGGCUCAACCAAGGAAGUGCAUCCGAAACUGCAAAUCUUGAGUACCAAAGAGGAUCGCGGAAUUCCCGGUGUAGAGGUGAAAUUCGUAGAUAUCGGGAGGAACACCAGUGGCGAAGGCGGCGAUCUGGGUGGAUACUGACGCUGAGGUGCGAAAGCGUGGGGAGCAAACAGG
rnacentral:rRNA from 1 species